UGUACGGUUCAUUCAUUGUCAACGGUCCUCUAUUGCCGUGCAACUAUCCCAUGUAUGCUAUUGAAGAAUCACCACCAUUUUUAAAAUGAUGCAGAACUAACAAAGGAGUCUUCAACCAAUCAUCGAGAGAGAGAGAGAGAGAGAGAGAUGGAAGAAAUAGAAUUCGUCGCGAGUCCGGCAGCUCUGCAAGCUCCGAUGGAUGUCAUAAACCGCAUCUUCUCACAGCUCGACUGCAUCGAUCUCAUCCAUUGCUCUCUCGUCUGCAAGCAGUGGUACAGGGACUCUGCCGAGCUGAGGGAGGCUUGGAAAAAUGAAUUAGAAGCAUGCAGAGCAUGUAACGUGUUCGGGUUUGCAGAUUAAAAGGCAAACCCAUUUACCGUCUGCCACAUAUUCUGUUAAAGGUUUGCUUAGUUGGUACCCUUGAUUUUCAUGUGCUACUCUACAAUAAUCUCCAACAGAAGCAACAGUUGUAAAGUGUAUUUAAAAAAAAGAAAAAGAAAAGAAAAGAAAAGAAAAACGUUCAUGUAAAUAUCACUGAAGCUUUGGAAGCCAGGAUUCAAUGUCCUUUAUUUAUUGGUUUCUUUGUAUGGCAUGAGUUCUUGUGAUA